CGAUAUGGCCGACCUUCAUAUCAUCCUGGUUAACGCUGAGAAGAGAAUCAGAGCACUGACUGCCUCCAAAACUACAUCGGUGAAAAAGGCCAGAAGAAGUGUGAAGAAGAAACAUGGCCAGCUAUGUGAAGCUCCAUUGGGCGGGCCUUUUGUGUUGCCUCUCUCGAGGAGCCCAAGGAGGAGCUCUUGUUUUCCUGAAGUUCUUUCAUACCCGACAACGGUUUAUAGCAGCAAGGCUGACGCAAUGCAGUUCCGAGGAAGAGUUGUGGCCAUCACGGGUUGAUAGAUGGAGGUUUAGCAGUCCAGAUGAAGACCUUUCUAUUGGCUCGAGC
rnacentral:lncRNA from 1 species